rnacentral:rRNA from 1 species
UACAGAGGUCUCAAGCGUUGUUCGGAUUCAUUGGGCGUAAAGGGUGCGUAGGUGGCGCGGUAAGUCGGGUGUGAAAUUUCGGAGCUUAACUCCGAAACUGCAUUCGAUACUGCCGUGCUUGAGGACUGGAGAGGAGACUGGAAUUUACGGUGUAGCAGUGAAAUGCGUAGAGAUCGUAAGGAAGACCAGUGGCGAAGGCGGGUCUCUGGACAGUUCCUGACACUGAGGCACGAAGGCCAGGGAGCAAACGGG